rnacentral:rRNA from 1 species
GACGAACGCUGGCGGCGUGCCUAACACAUGCAAGUCGAGCGAUUUGAUUCUCUUCGGAGAUGAAGCUAGCGGCGGACGGGUGAGUAACACGUGGGCAACCUGCCUCAUAGAGGGGAAUAGCCUCCCGAAAGGGAGAUUAAUACCGCAUAAGAUUGUAGCUUCGCAUGAAGUAGCAAUUAAAGGAGCAAUCCGCUAUGAGAUGGGCCCGCGGCGCAUUAGCUAGUUGGUGAGGUAACGGCUCACCAAGGCGACGAUGCGUAGCCGACCUGAGCGGGUGAUCGGCCACAUUGGGACUGAGACACGGCCCAGACUCCUACGGGAGGCAGCAGGGGGGAAUAUUGCACAAUGGGGGAAGCCCUGAUGCAGCAACGCCGCGUGAGUGAUGACGGCCUUCGGGUUGUAAAGCUCUGUCUUCAGGGACGAUAAUGACGGUACCUGAGGAGGAAGCCACGGCUAACUACGUGCCAGCAGCCGCCGUAA